rnacentral:rRNA from 1 species
AGUUUGAUUAUGGCUCAGGAUGAACGCUGGCGGCGUGCCUAACACAUGCAAGUCGAGCGAGAACUUAUGUAAAGAAACUUCGGUAGAUUUACAAAAGGGAAAGCGGCGGACGGGUGAGUAACGCGUAGGCAACCUGCCCCAUACAGGGGGAUAGCCACCGGAAACGGUGAUUAAUACCUCAUAAAGCAUAGAUAACACAUGUUAAAGAUGUCAAAGAGAAUUCGGUAUGGGAUGGGCCUGCGUCUGAUUAGUUAGUUGGUGAGGUAACGGCUCACCAAGGCGACGAUCAGUAGCCGACCUGAGAGGGUAGGCGGCCACAUUGGAACUGAGACACGGUCCAGACUCCUACGGGAGGCAGCAGUGGGGAAUAUUGCACAAUGGGCGAAAGCCUGAUGCAGCAACGCCGUGUGAAUGAAGAAGGCCUUAGGGUCGUAAAAUUCUGUCCUAAGGGAAGAAAAAGAUGACG